AUGCUCACUUCAGCAGCACAUAUACUAAAAUCAGAAGGAUACAGUGAUCAGCAUGCCCAAGUAUGGCACGCAAAUUCAUGAAGCGUUCCAUAUUUAA
ensembl:snRNA U6 U6 spliceosomal RNA